rnacentral:rRNA from 1 species
AGUGAACGCUGGCGGCAUGCCUAAUACAUGCAAGUCGAACGGAAGCACAGUAAGAUCUCGCCCUUACCGUUGGCGAGUGACGGACGGGUGACGCAUACAUAGGCAUCUUCUUAUUCGUGGGGGAUUACGGAGGAACACUUACGCUAACACCGCAUAUCAUCUACGGCUUGAUUCAGUGGAUCUUCACAGCUUUGCCGACUGUAUGAGCUGAAGUCGGAUUAGCUAGUUGGCUGGGUAAGGGCCCACCAAGGCGACGAUCCGUAGCUGGCCUGAGAGGAUGAUCAGCCACACUGGAACUGAGACACGGUCCAGACUCCUACGGGAGGCAGCAGUGGGGAAUAUUGGACAAUGGGCGCAAGCCUGAUCCAGCCAUACCGCGUGGGUGAAGAAGGCCUUCGGGUUGUAAAGCCCUUUUGUUGGGAAAGAAAAGCAGCAGGUUAAUACCCCGCUGUUCUGACGGUACCCAAAGAAUAAGCAACGGCUAACUUCGUG